rnacentral:rRNA from 1 species
CUACGGGAUGCUCCAGUGAGGAAUAUUGCACAAUGGGGGGGACCCUGAUGCAGCAACGCCGCGUGGAGGAUGACGCAUUUCGGUGUGUAAACUCCUUUUAUAUGCCAAGAAAAUGACGGUAGCAUAUGAAUAAGCACCGGCUAACUCCGUGCCAGCAGCCGCGGUAAUACGGAGGGUGCAAGCGUUACUCGGAAUCACUGGGCGUAAAGGACGCGUAGGCGGGUUGGAAAGUCAGGUGUGAAAUCCUACAGCUUAACUGUAGAACUGCACUUGAAACUUCUAAUCUAGAGUAUGGGAGGGGGAGAUGGAAUUAGUGGUGUAGGGGUAAAAUCCGUAGAUAUCACUAGGAAUACCUAAAGCGAAGGCGAUCUCCUGGAACAUUACUGACGCUAAGGCGUGAAAGCGUGGGGAGCAAACAGGAUUAGAUACCCCGGUAGUC